ACGUCCAUACCAUGUUGAAUACACCGGUUCUCGUCCAAUCACCGAAGUUAAGGAGCGUCGGGCGAGGUUAGCACUUCGAUGUGACCACCUGGAAGCACUGCGUGAUGUU